rnacentral:lncRNA from 1 species
UAGGAUUUGAUUAAGGUUUGAUUAUGAUUAGUUAGGAUUCUUUUAAAAUUUGAUUAAAAUUUGAUUAGGAUUUGUUUAGGAUUUGAUUAGGAUUUGAUUAGGAUUUGUUUAGGAUUUGAUUAUGAUUUGUUUAGGAUUUGAUUAGGAUUUGAUUAAGAUUUGACUAGGAUUUAUCUACAAUUUGAUUAAUAUUUGAUUAAAAUUUAAUUAGGAUUCCAUUAGGAUUCACCUAAAAUUUGAUUAAAAUUUUUCUAGAAUUUAUUUAGGAUUUGAGUAGAAUUCAAUUAGGAUUUAUUUAAUAUU